AAAUGAAUUGACGGGGAGCACCACAACGGGUGGAGCUUGUCGGUUUUAAUUGGAUUCAACGCCGGAAAUCUUACCGGGACCGACAGCAAUAUGAAGGCCAGGCUGAAGACUUUGCCGGAUUAGCUGAGAGGUGGUGCAUGGCCGUCGUCAGUUCGUACUGUGAAGCAUCCUGUUAAGUCAGGCAACGAGCGAGACCCACGCCCACAGUUGCCAGCGUACUCUCUGGAGUGACGGGUACACUGUGGGACCGCCGCUGCUAAAGCGGAGGAAGGAAUGGGCAACGGUAGGUCAGUAUGCCCCGAAUAUCCCGGGCUACACGCGAGCUACAAUGGUUGGUACAAUGGGUAUCUACCCCGAAAGGGGACGGGAAUCUCCUAAAACCAAUCUUAGUUCGGAUUGAGGGCUGCAACUCGCCCUCAUGAAGCUGGAAUCCGUAGUAAUCGCGUUUCAACAGAACGCGGUGAAUACGUCCCUGCUCCUU
rnacentral:rRNA from 1 species